rnacentral:rRNA from 1 species
AGAUGAACGCUAGCUACAGGCUUACACAUGCAAGUCGAGGGGCAGCAUGGUCUUAGCUUGCUAAGGCCGAUGGCGACCGGCGCACGGGUGAGUAACACGUAUCCAACCUGCCGUCUACUCUUGGACAGCCUUCUGAAAGGAAGAUUAAUACAAGAUGGCAUCAUGAGUCCGCAUGUUCACAUGAUUAAAGGUAUUCCGGUAGACGAUGGGGAUGCGUUCCAUUAGAUAGUAGGCGGGGUAACGGCCCACCUAGUCUUCGAUGGAUAGGGGUUCUGAGAGGAAGGUCCCCCACAUUGGAACUGAGACACGGUCCAAACUCCUACGGGAGGCAGCAGUGAGGAAUAUUGGUCAAUGGGCGAGAGCCUGAACCAGCCAAGUAGCGUGAAGGAUGACUGCCCUAUGGGUUGUAAACUUCUUUUAUAAAGGAAUAAAGUCGGGUAUGGAUACCCGUUUGCAUGUACUUUAUGAAUAAGGAUCGGCUAACUCCGUGCCAGCAGCCGCGGUAAUACGGAGGAUCCGAGCGUUAUCCGGAUUUAUUGGGUUUAAAGGGAGCGUAGAUGGAUGUUUAAGUCAGUUGUGAAAGUUUGCGGCUCAACCGUAAAAUUGCAGUUGAUACUGGAUAUCUUGAGUGCAGUUGAGGCAGGCGGAAUUCGUGGUGUAGCGGUGAAAUGCUUAGAUAUCACGAAGAACUCCGAUUGCGAAGGCAGCCUGCUAAGCUGCAACUGACAUUGAGGCUCGAAAGUGUGGGUAUCAACAGGAUA